rnacentral:rRNA from 1 species
UUGGAGGGCAAGUCUGGUGCCAGCAGCCGCGGUAAUUCCAGCUCCAAUAGCGUAUAUUAAAGUUGCUGCAGUUAAAAAGCUCGUAGUUGAAUUUCGGGACCAUCAUGUCGGUCGUGCCUCGGUACGUACUGGCAUUGUUGGUUUCUCCCUUCUGACGAACCAUGAUGUCAUUUAUUUGGUGUUGUGGGGAAUCAGGACUGUUACUUUGAAAAAAUUAGAGUGUUUAAAGCAGGCUCACGCUUGAAUACAUUAGCAUGGAAUAAUGAAAUAGGACGUUUGAUUCUAUUUUGUUGGUUUCUAGGAUCGACGUAAUGAUUAAUAGGGAUAGUUGGGGGCAUUAGUAUUCAAUUGUCAGAGGUGAAAUUCUUGGAUUUAUUGAAGACUGACUACUGCGAAAGCAUUUGCCAAGGAUGUUUUCAUUAAUCAAGAACGAAAGUUAGGGGAUCGAAGACGAUCAGAUACCGUCGUAGUCUUAACCAUAAACCAUGCCGACUAGGGAUCGGAUGAUGUUAAUUUUUUAAUGACUCAUUCGGCGCCUUACGGGAAACCAAAGUGUUUGGGUUC